ACCUGGGUAGCUCAGUGGUUGAGCAUCUGCCUUUAGCUCAGGUCGUGGUCCCAGGUG
rnacentral:tRNA from 1 species